GACGAACGCUGGCGGCGUGCCUAAUACAUGCAAGUUGAGCGCUGAAGGUUGGUACUUGUACCAACUGGAUGAGCAGCGAACGGGUGAGUAACGCGUGGGGAAUCUGCCUUUGAGCGGGGGACAACAUUUGGAAACGAAUGCUAAUACCGCAUAAAAACUUUAAACACAAGUUUUAAGUUUGAAAGAUGCAAUUGCAUCACUCAAAGAUGAUCCCGCGUUGUAUUAGCUAGUUGGUGAGGUAAAGGCUCACCAAGGCGAUGAUACAUAGCCGACCUGAGAGGGUGAUCGGCCACAUUGGGACUGAGACACGGCCCAAACGCCUACGGGAGGCAGCAGUAGGGAAUCUUCGGCAAUGGACGAAAGUCUGACCGAGCAACGCCGCGUGAGGGAAGAAGGGUUUCGGAUCGUAAAACUCUGUUGGUAGAGAAGAACGUUGGUGAGAGUGGAAAGCUCAUCAAGUGACGGUAACUACACAGAAAGGGACGGCUAACUACGUG
rnacentral:rRNA from 1 species